UACGAAGGGGCUAGCGUUGCUCGGAAUCACUGGGCGUAAAGGGUGCGUAGGCGGGUCUUUAAGUCAGGGGUGAAAUCCUGGAGCUCAACUCCAGAACUGCCUUUGAUACUGAAGAUCUUGAGUUCGGGAGAGGUGAGUGGAACUGGCGAGUGUAGAGGUGAAAUUCGUAGAUAUUCGCAAGAACACCAGUGGCGAAGGCGGCUCACUGGCCCGGUACUGACGCUGAGGUGCGAAAGCGUGGGGAGCAAACAGGGAGUUAAG
rnacentral:rRNA from 1 species